UACGGAGGGAGCUAGCGUUGUUCGGAAUUACUGGGCGUAAAGCGCACGUAGGCGGCUUUGUAAGUUAGAGGUGAAAGCCCCGGGGCUCAACUCCGGAACUGCCUUUAAGACUGCCAUCGCUUGAAUCCGGGAGAGGUGAGUGGAAUUCCCAGUGUAGCGGUGAAAUGCGUAGAUAUUGGGAGGAACACCCAGUGGCGAAGGCGGGCCUCACUGGACCGGACUGAC
rnacentral:rRNA from 1 species